GACGAGGGAUCCUAGCGUUGUUCGGAAUCAUUGGGCGUAAAGCGGGUGCAGGUGGCUAUGUAAGUCAGGUGUGAAAGCCUAGGGCUCAACCCUAGAAGUGCAUUUGAUACUGCGUAGCUUGAGUGCUAGAGAGGAUAGUAGAAUUCCUGGUGUAGUGGUGAAAUACGUAGAUAUCAGGAGGAAUACCGGAGGCGAAGGCGGCUAUCUGGCUAGACACUGACACUCAGACCCGAAAGCGUGGGGAUCAAAC
rnacentral:rRNA from 1 species